CCUCUAGAUGAGCUCGCGUCUGAUUAGCUAGUUGGUGNGGUAAAAGCCUACCNAGGCAUCGAUCAGUAGCUGGUCUGAGAGGAUGACCAGCCACACUGGGACUGAGACACGGCCCAGACUCCUACGGGAGGCAGCAGUGGGGAAUUUUCCGCAAUGGGCGAAAGCCUGACGGAGCAAUACCGCGUGAGGGAGGAAGGCUCUUGGGUCGUAAACCUCUUUUNUCNGGGAAGAACACANUGACGGUACCUGACGAAUCAACCUCGGCUAACUCCGUGCCAGCAGCCGCGGU
rnacentral:rRNA from 1 species